CUAAGUUAGCUUCCUAAAUUCUAUCAUGCCAGAUUUGUUUGGCUCUAAAAAAUAUGUAGAACAAUGACACAAACAUAUAGUAGAGUAAUUUAUGGCAAUCAAACCACUAAAUAAUUGGAAAUAAUAUUAUAAGCAUUUUUGGCAUAACAAAUUGUACAGAGAAGAAAUAAUCUCGGCGAUCCGUGGCAAAUGGAUGUCCAGAUGCUGGGCCAUGUGAGGUAGCAACAAGUGCACCUGUGGACACAUUUGACACAGUUUGGCCGAGCGUAACAAACUGCGUUUAUCAAAUGGAACUCGAUUCGGUUUCGGUUUCGGUUGACGUGUCCAAAAACAAAAUAAAAACUUAACUAAAAUGGAGUAACUACCUGCCAAUCGGACCACCCCAUUCCGCAUCCCACAUCCCACAUCCCGCCAGCUAUCCCCUCUCCAGUGACCCAAACGAGGAGCCAACCAAGCGACCAAUCAACAUUUCCGCUCUAAUGAAAUCUGUGCAAGAUCAGGAGAGCUCCGCGAUAUGGAUAAUUAUGAUUAUGCAGCCCAUGGAGAGUUUGUUCCAUAUAUAUUCCCUACAUUCUAUAUUAUAUAUACUUUCUCUCUAAUAUCAAAUUGAUAUUACAAAUAUGGCGCAUUUCCUGUUCCAUCAUUUAUCUACUAGUGCUUGAAAUUGGGUUAAAUUUUCAUCAUAAUUGGAGUAUUUUUAGGAUUUAUCUUGAUAUACACAUCAAUAAACAUUCUCUAGAGCACUUUCUAAUAUAA